GACGAACGCUGGCGGCGUGCUUAACACAUGCAAGUCGAACGGAAAGGCCCUGCUUUUGUGGGGUGCUCGAGUGGCGAACGGGUGAGUAACACGUGAGUAACCUGCCCUUGACUUUGGGAUAACUUCAGGAAACUGGGGCUAAUACCGGAUAGGAGCUCCUGCUGCAUGGUGGGGGUUGGAAAGUUUCGGCGGUUGGGGAUGGACUCGCGGCUUAUCAGCUUGUUGGUGGGGUAGUGGCUUACCAAGGCUUUGAUGGGUAGCCGGCCUGAGAGGGUGACCGGCCACAUUGGGACUGAGAUACGGCCCAGACUCCUACGGGAGGCAGCAGUGGGGAAUAGUGCACAAUGGGCGGAAGCCUGAUGCAGCAACGCCGCGUGCGGGAUGACGGCCUUCGGGUUGUAAACCGCUUUCGCCUGUGACGAAGCGUGAGUGACGGUAAUGGGUAAAGAAGCACCGGCUAACUACGUG
rnacentral:rRNA from 1 species